UUGAACGCUGGCGGCAUGCUUUACACAUGCCAGUCGAACGGUAACAGGCCGCAAGGUGCUGACGGGUGGCGAACGGGUGAGUAAUGCAUCGGAACGUGCCCAGUCGUGGGGGAUAACUACUCGAAAGAGUAGCUAAUACCGCAUACGAUCUAUGGAUGAAAGCGGGGGACCGGAAGGCCUCGCGCGAUUGGAGCGGCCGAUGUCAGAUUAGGUAGUUGGUGGGGUAAAGGCUCACCAAGCCAACGAUCUGUAGCUGGUCUGAGAGGACGACCAGCCACACUGGGACUGAGACACGGCCCAGACUCCUACGGGAGGCAGCAGUGGGGAAUUUUGGACAAUGGGCGCAAGCCUGAUCCAGCAAUGCCGCGUGCAGGAAGAAGGCCUUCGGGUUGUAAACUGCUUUUGUACGGAACGAAACGGCUCUGGUUAAUACCCGGGGCUAAUGACGGUACCGUAAGAAUAAGCACCGGCUAACUACGUG
rnacentral:rRNA from 1 species